AUUGAAUGCUGGCGGCAUGCCUAACACAUGCAAGUCGAACGGCAGCACAGCAGUAGCAAUACUGUGGGUGGCGAGUGGCGGACGGGUGAGGAAUACGUCGGAAUCUGCCCAGUCGUGGGGGAUAACUAGCCGAAAGGUUAGCUAAUACCGCAUACGACCGAGAGGUGAAAGCGGGGGACCGCAAGGCCUCGCGCGAUUGGAUGAGCCGACGUCGGAUUAGCUAGUUGGCGGGGUAAAGGCCCACCAAGGCGACGAUCCGUAGCUGGUCUGAGAGGAUGAUCAGCCACACUGGAACUGAGACACGGUCCAGACUCCUACGGGAGGCAGCAGUGGGGAAUUUUGGACAAUGGGCGCAAGCCUGAUCCAGCCAUGCCGCGUGAGUGAAGAAGGC
rnacentral:rRNA from 1 species